rnacentral:rRNA from 1 species
CAGCCGCCGCGGUAAUACCGGCGGCCCGAGUGGCGGUCACUAUUAUUGGGCUUAAAGCGUCCGUAGCCGGGUUGGGAAGUCCUCCGGGAAAUCUGGCCGCUUAACGGUCAGAAUGCCGGAGGAUACUCCCAGCCUAGGGAGCGGGAGAGGCCGAGGGGAUUCCCGGGGUAGGGGUGAAAUACUAUAAUCCCGGGAGGACCACCUGUGGCGAACGCGCUCGACUGGAACGCGUCCGACGGUGAGGGACGAAGGCCAGGGGAGCAAACCGGAUUAGAUACCCGGGUAGUCCUGGCUGUAAACGAUGCGGACUUUGUGUCGGACAAGCUAUGAGCUUGUCCGGUGCCGGAGGGAAACCGUUAAGUCCGCCGCCUGGGGAGUACGGCCGCAAGGCUGAAACUUAAAGGAAUUGGCGGG